AUAAUUGGAGAGUUUGAUCCUGGCUCAGAGUAAACGUUGGCGGCGUGCUUAACACAUGCAAGUCGAACGAUUCCCGAGUAGCUUGCUAUUCGGGAAGAGUGGCGAACGGGUGAGUAACACGUGAGUAAUCAUCCCUCGAGUGAGGAAUAAUUCCGCGAAAGCGGAACUAAUACCGCAUAAUACUCUGGUGCAUAAGCACUCAGAGUCAAAGCUUUCCGAGCAAUCGGACGGCGCUUGAGGACGAACUUGCGGCCUAUUAGCUUGUUGGUAGGGUAACGGCCUUCCAAGGUAAUGAUGGGUAGCCGGCCUGAGAGGGUGUACGGCCACACUGGGACUG
rnacentral:rRNA from 1 species